GUACCGUACGAACGUUAUUCGGAAUCACUGGGGCUUAAAGGGGUGCGUAGGCGGCGCGGUCAGUUGGGUGUGAAAUCCCUCGGCUCAACCGAGGAACUGCGCCCAAUACUGCCGCACUCGAGGGAGACAGAGGUAAGCGGAACUGAUGGUGGAGCGGUGAAAUGCGUUGAUAUCAUCAGGAACACCAGUGGCGAAAGCGGCUUACUGGGUCUCUUCUGACGCUGAGGCACGAAAGCUAGGGUAGCGAACGGGAUUAGAUACCCCGGUAGUCCUAGCUGUAAACGAUGAGCACUUGGUCGGAGGCUCCUCCAUAGGCUUCCGGUCGUAGCGAAAGUGUUAAGUGCUCCGCCUGGGGAGUAUGGUCGCAAAGGCUG
rnacentral:rRNA from 1 species